rnacentral:rRNA from 1 species
GCCUAACACAUGCAAGUCGAACGAAGUAGCAAUACUUAGUGGCAGACGGGUGAGUAACAUGUAGGUAUCUGCCCUUUGGCCUGGAAUAACACGAGGAAACUUGUGCUAAUACCGGAUAAGUCUUUACGGAGAAAGCUUUAUGCACCAAUGGAUGAGCCUGCAUUUGAUUAGUUUGUUGGUGGGGUAAUGGCCUACCAAGACUGUGAUCAAUAGCUGAUUUGAGAGGAUGAUCAGCCACAUUGGGACUGAGACACGGCCCAAACUCCUACGGGAGGCAGCAGUGGGGAAUCUUGCACAAUGGAGGAAACUCUGAUGCAGCGAUGCCGCGUGAGUGAAGAAGGCCUUUGGGUUGUAAAGCUCUUUCGUCGGGGAAGAAAAUGACUGUACCCGAAUAAGAAGGUCCGGCUAACUUCGUGCCAGCAGCCGCGGUAAUACGAAGGGACCUAGCGUAGUUCGGAAUUACUGGGCUUAAAGAGUUCGUAGGUGGUUGAAAAAGUUGGUGGUGAAAUCCCAGAGCUUAACUCUGGAACUGCCAUCAAAACUUUUCAGCUAGAGUUUGAUAGAGGAAAGCAGAAUUUCUAGUGUAGAGGUGAAAUUCGUAGAUAUUAGAAAGAAUACCAAUUGCGAAGGCAGCUUUCUGGAUCAUUACUGACACUGAGGAACGAAAGCAUGGGUAGCGAAGAGGAUUAGAUACCCUCGUAGUCCAUGCCGUAAACGAUGUGUGUUAGACGUUGGAAAUUUAUUUUCAGUGUCGCAGCGAAAGCGAUAAACACACCGCCUGGGGAGUACGA